GGACAGUUAGUUCAGUGGUAGAACGCUCCGUUCACAUCGGAGAGGUGGCAGGUUCGAUCCCUGCACUGUCCACCA
rnacentral:tRNA from 1 species